rnacentral:rRNA from 1 species
UUCGAUGCUACGCGCAGAACCUUACCAACCCUUGACAUCCUGUGCUACAUUCAGAGAUGAAUGGUUCCCUUCGGGGACGCAGUGACAGGUGCUGCAUGGCUGUCGUCAGCUCGUGUCGUGAGAUGUUCGGUUAAGUCCGGCAACGAGCGCAACCCACAUCCGUAGUUGCCAGCAGUUCGGCUGGGCACUCUAUGGAUACUGCCCGUGAUAAGCGGGAGGAAGGUGUGGAUGACGUCAAGUCCUCAUGGCCCUUACGGGUUGGGCUACACACGUGCUACAAUGGCAUCUACAGUGGGUUAAUCCCCAAAAGAUGUCUCAGUUCGGAUUGUCGUCUGCUACUCGACGGCAUGAAGUCGGAAUCGCUAGUAAUCGCGUAACAGCAUGACGCGGUGAAUACGUUCCCGGGCCUUGUACACACCGCCCGUCACACCAUGGGAGUUGGUUCUACCCGACGGCCGUGCGCUAACUUUUGAGGCAGCGGACCACGGUAGGAUCAGCGACUGGGGUGAAGUCGUAACAAGGU